rnacentral:rRNA from 1 species
UACAGGGGGGGCAAGGCGUUGUUCGGAAUUACUGGGCGUAAAGGGCCAGUAGGCGGCCAACUAAGUCACACGUGAAAUCCCCAGCUUAACCUGGGAACUGCGUGUGAUACUGGAUGGCUUGAAUUCGGGAGAGGGAUGCAGAAUUCCAGGUGUAGCGGUGAAAUGCGUAGAUAUCUGGAGGAAUACCGGUGGCGAAGGCGGCAUCCUGGACCGACAUUGACGCUGAACGGCGAAAGCUAGGGGAGCAAACGGG